UACCUUUGUUNNUUUGGCGGGCCGCCUNNCUACUGGCUUCGGCUGGUAAGUGCCCGCCAGAGAACCCAAAACCCUGAAUUAUUAGUGUCGUCUGAGUAAAAUAUUUAAUAUUUAAAACUUUCAACAACGGAUCUCUUGGCUCUGGCAUCGAUGAAGAACGCAGCGAAAUGCGAUAAGUAAUGUGAAUUGCAGAAUUCANUGAAUCAUCGAAUCUUUGAACGCACAUUGCGCCCCUUGGUAUUCCGAGGGGCAUGCCUAUUCGAGCGUCAUUAUCACCCCUCAAGCCUAGCUUGGUGUUGAGACCUGCUGUCAAGGCAGUCUCUAAAAUCAGUGGCAGUGCUGUCAGGCUCUAAGCGUAGUAAAUUCAUCGCUAUAGACACCUGGUGGCCACUCGCCAGAACCCCCCCAUUUUUUAAUGAUUGACCUCGGAUUAGGUAGGGAUACCCGCUGAACUUAAGCAUAUCAAUAAGCGGAGGAAAAGAAACCAACAGGGAUUGCCUCAGUAACGGCGAGUGAAGCGGCAAAAGCUCAAAUUUGAAAUCUGGCUCUUUUAGGGUCCGAGUUGUAAUUUGUAGAAGAUGUUUCGGGUGUGGCUCCGGUUUAAGUUCUUUGGA
rnacentral:rRNA from 1 species